GUUAGGCUGUUAGGUGAGGUUAGUGCAGUUAGCUAGGAAUAGAGAUUGUACUGUGUGGUUGUAUAAAAACUCAAGUGUAAUAUCUUUUUGAGCAAUGAAAAUCAGUUCUGUGAUUUCAUCAGAACUCCAUUCUUCCAUGCAUCAAUUGACACAUCAGUGGACACAUCAGUUGACACAGAAAGCAUGGAGAGUGGGUCAGAAAAAUAAUGGGGAUGAUCUUUCCAGGUCUGUUCAUCGUAUUGUUGCCAGUUUCCGGUGUAAAUAUACUGAAUGUUUCAUGGUCUGUUCUGACUGGCGAAUUUUGAUUGUAUGAAUGCCAGAUGCUUUAGUGUCAUUUCACUUUCCUCUAUUUUGGGAUGUUUGCUCUGAUUGGCCACAGUAUUUGGCAUGAGACCCUUCAAGAGAGGUCCUUAUCGGGGAUGGCAUUUAGGGGCAGUGCAUUACCUUGUGGUGUUGAGCAUAAAUACAAGCUGGCUAUUGUGGAUUACUUUGAUGGUGGUUUUUAUUUUUUUAAGCUUGUUUUGCCUGUGGGUGUGUUAUUUUCGCCUAGCCUCUCAUGUUGUGAGAGAUUUAUCUUAUUAUGCUAGUUGUACUGUUUUGUCCAAGCCUUUGACUUUGAGUGUCGCUUCUCUAAAACUAUAUUGACUCUCGGAGUUGUGUCUUGAGCAUCAUUGUAAUAGGUGAGUGCACAGAGCAAAAAAAGGGUUGAGAAAUGAAAUGCACUACAUAGUACAAUUGGAAAUACAUUUUGCUAAUACUACUCGUACUCUCGUCUUGGAUAAUGGAGGACAGAAUAAAAAUUGCUGGUGGCAAAGUGUGUUCUUCGUCUCUAUUUUUACCAUGUAUUUUACUGGAUUGAAUUUGUCUGGAAUUUACUAGUUAUGAGAAGGUUUUUGGGUAUUUGAUAACUUGUUCGCUAUCAAAUUAUUUUUGGUUCAUUUCACUUUUAUCUGCUAAAUUAUUGUCAUUUUUUUUCCCAUUUCAUUCUUAUACCAU